rnacentral:rRNA from 1 species
GACGAACGCUGGCGGCGUGCUUAACACAUGCAAGUCGAACGGAAAGGCCCUGCUUUUGUGGGGUGCUCGAGUGGCGAACGGGUGAGUAACACGUGAGUAACCUGCCCUUGACUUUGGGAUAACUUCAGGAAACUGGGGCUAAUACCGGAUAGGAGCUCCUGCUGCAUGGUGGGGGUUGGAAAGUUUCGGCGGUUGGGGAUGGACUCGCGGCUUAUCAGCUUGUUGGUGGGGUAGUGGCUUACCAAGGCUUUGACGGGUAGCCGGCCUGAGAGGGUGACCGGCCACAUUGGGACUGAGAUACGGCCCAGACUCCUACGGGAGGCAGCAGUGGGGAAUAUUGCACAAUGGGCGGAAGCCUGAUACAGCAACGCCGCGUGCGGGAUGACGGCCUUCGGGUUGUAAACCGCUUUCGCCUGUGACGAAGCGUGAGGGACGGUAAUGGGUAAAGAAGCACCGGCUAACUACGU